rnacentral:rRNA from 1 species
UACGUAGGGCGCAAGCGUUGUCCGGAAUUAUUGGGCGUAAAGAGCUCGUAGGCGGUCUGUCGCGUCUGCCGUGAAAACCCGAGGCUUAACCUCGGGCUGGCGGUGGAUACGGGCAGACUAGAGGUAGGUAGGGGAGAAUGGAAUUCCCGGUGUAGCGGUGAAAUGCGCAGAUAUCGGGAAGAACACCCGUGGCGAAGGCGGUUCUCUGGGACGGUACUGACGCUGAGACGCGAAAGCGUGGGGAGCGAACAGG